CAUGCUGGACCCUCCUCGCUCGCUGCGCUCACCCUCGCUCUGCUCAAGCGACACAACCGCUCGCUGCUACCGUGCACCACGCGCGCUCGCCCCUCCUCGCUCCACUCGCAAAAAACCCGCCAAGCUCACUCACGCCUUGCCACUCGGCACCACGUCGUGCCGCCCCUUGCCGUGUCCCCACCUCAACCACGCCGCUACCACCUCGUCGCACGCGCCGUCAACGCCGCGUCGCCCCAGCGCCACCACCGCAGCAAGCCGAUGCUCGCAAUCUGCCGCCCGGCCACAACGUCGCCAUUCAUGGCGAGCAGGUGAGCCACUGGCACAGCUCCGCCCUCGCCGCCUAUAAAAGCCACCCUGAGCUGCUCUCCGACGCUAUCCCGAGCUCGCCGAGCCGCCCAGCUGUGCCUCCCACCUUCUCCCUCCCUAAAUCAAGCUAUUUGCUCCUCCACACAAGAACAGGGCGCUGCCUCGAUCUCCCUCUCCAAGCUGCCCCUGCCCGAGCUGAUGGAGUAACCGAGGAGGAGAACCAGUUUGGAGGCUGGUAUCGCAAGCCAGAGCCAGAAGACCUGUAUCGCGAGCAGGAGCUUUCAGAAGGCUUUGGAGAUGGCAAGUCGAAUCUCAUGCUUUCAUGCAUAUUUAUCCUAGUUUUUCAGACAUAACCUAUUGGCCAUUUUUAUAAAUUGCAUAUAUUGUUUUAUUGCUUAGAUGAAACCUGGUUGGAUAGCCACCCCUUGAUUGCUAUGGUUGUUCCUUGAUGACUUAGGAUUAUCUCUAAAUAUGAUAUGCUCUGUUUGGAUGAUAAUUGUCGCUAGAAUGCUUAGAAUCUUGUUAAUCACUUUAUUACAAUUCAAUCAUGGUUACAUUGUAUUUUAUCAAUGAAUAAAUGCGUUGAGUGUUUUAAGGAAAAUAAAUGAAUUUUAGGGAAGGGAUAAAAGAAAGUGGUUAGACGAGACGGACGAGUGUUUCUUAUAUGAAAUAUCAGUCGGGCUCGUACCUUAGUGGUUGAGCAGGUUGGGAGGUAUCCAUCUUAUCAUGUUUAAGAACCGAGUUGAUGUGUCAUCUUGCUAACCUAAACUACUAUGCAACCACUCGACCUUUGUAUGAGGCAAAAGCUAGCAUAAAUCCCACUAGCAAGUCUAUUAAUCAUAAGUGUGCUGGUUGAGCAAUGGAAGAACAUGGAGAAGGAGUAAGCAUGUGUAGGCUUAGGUCCCGGUUAAGGUCUUGUUGGUAGGUCCUUAACCCCAUGGUUGCUUCCAUAAUGGUUAAUCGGGUCUUAGCUAAGGUGGGUAAUGGCUUUGCUAGGAUCCGCGCCAAUACUAAGGUGUUUGUGUCACGGUACCCUACUUGUGGGUAAAGUGUACCCCUCUGCAGAGUUAAAAUCUAUUCGGAUAGCCGUGUCCACGGUAUCGAACGAGUUACGGUUUGCGCACAUAACUAGCUUUUACAAAAUUGAUGGGUUUCUUAGCUUGAGUAUAAAUUUCAGAAAGUGUUCAGCAGUUAUGCCGUGUGCUACCGCGGAUGGGGGGUUCGAUAGUAUUAAAACUUGGAUCCUUGUGUAGGAUCAGCCCCAUUCAAUUAAUUCGGUUUAUUAAUAAUGUUUUGUGAAAAGCCCUUUAAAAACGAAACCAUGCAUGGGGUAAAUCUAGCUUUAUCGCAAAUGAAUCCCUCCAUGAUCCUUGUUAUACCUUAUGCAUAUUCUUGUUAUCCCUCUACGUGGGUGUGGUUGGACUUUUUGAAUACUUUUACACUCACCUUGCUUUGUUGGAUUAAAGGAAGAUCCGAACUUCGCUGCCGGUGAAGACUUCGAGUAGAAGGUUGCUUUCGCACCCGACGUGCCCAUGGCGUUGGGCUUUAGCAAGAUGCUUCCGCUGCCGUGUGUGCUGGGUGUUUCUAGUGUUCGUUUGUAUGGUCAACUUAGUGUGUUUACGUUGCUUCAUAUCUGGGCAUAUCUUUCUCGCCCGUUAGUCCGUGCAAACGAGGGUGCUUCAAUUUCAAUUUCAGAGGCUGAUUGUAUAUACAAUCUUUUACAACCCAUUACAAUGAGUAUUUUUCUAA